GCCCUGGGGUAGCCUAGUGGACAUGGUAUCUGCCCGGUAAGCGGAACACUGUGGGUUCGAUUCCCAUCCCUGGACA
rnacentral:tRNA from 1 species